rnacentral:rRNA from 1 species
ACACAUGCAGUCGAACGAAGCCUUCGGGUUUAGUGGCGCACGGGUGCGUAACGCGUGGGAAUCUGCCCCUUGGUUCGGAAUAACAGUUGGAAACGACUGCUAAUACCGGAUGAUGACGUAAGUCCAAAGAUUUAUCGCCGAGGGAUGAGCCCGCGUAGGAUUAGGUAGUUGGUGUGGUAAAGGCGCACCAAGCCGACGAUCCUUAGCUGGUCUGAGAGGAUGAUCAGCCACACUGGGACUGAGACACGGCCCAGACUCCUACGGGAGGCAGCAGUGGGGAAUAUUGGACAAUGGGCGAAAGCCUGAUCCAGCAAUGCCGCGUGAGUGAUGAAGGCCUUAGGGUUGUAAAGCUCUUUUACCCGGGAUGAUAAUGACAGUACCGGGAGAAUAAGCUCCGGCUAACUCCGUGCCAGCAGCCGCGGUAAUACGGAGGGAGCUAGCGUUAUUCGGAAUUACUGGGCGUAAAGCGCACGUAGGCGGCUUUGUAAGUAAGAGGUGAAAGCCCAGAGCUCAACUCUGGAAUUGCCUUUUAGACUGCAUCGCUUGAAUCAUGGAGAGGUCAGUGGAAUUCCGAGUGUAGAGGUGAAAUUCGUAGAUAUUCGGAAGAACACCAGUGGCGAA